rnacentral:rRNA from 1 species
AUGGCGGCGGCGGCGAUGAACACGGACGUGGAGGCAGUCGACUUCGACUCCGACGACGACGAUCUCAUGGACGAGGAGGGUGCCAUCGAACCCUCGCCGGCCCCCGCUCCCCGCCUCCGAUCUACCAUCGCAGGGGGCGGCGGCGGCGACGACGAUGCCCCGCGUAAGACCAAGGGGCGCGGCUUCCGCGAGGACCCUAACUCCUCGUCCGCGCACCGCGACUCGCGGUUAGCUGGCGCAGGCCGCUCAGGCUUCGACGCCCUCGCCUCCGAUGGCGGCCCUGGACCCGUGCGCUCCAUUGAAGGGUGGAUUGUACUGGUUACUGGAGUUCAUGAAGAAGCUCAGGAGGAGGACCUCCAUAAUAUUUUCGGGGAUUAUGGGCAGGUCAAGAACUUGCAUUUGAAUUUGGAUCGCCGGACUGGAUUUGUGAAGGGAUAUGCUCUAAUUGAGUAUGAGAACUUUGAGCAAGCCAAGCGUGCAAUAAGAGAAUCAGACGGAACUGAGCUUCUUUCGCAGAUAAUAAGUGUUGACUGGGCAUUUAGCAGUGGCCCUGUCAAACAGAGAAAUACUCGGAAGAGAUCACCGAGGCCUAAUCGCUCAAGGAGCCCACCAAGGAGAAGAUACCCUUAG